rnacentral:rRNA from 1 species
UACGGGAGGCAGCAGUGAGGAAUAUUGGUCAAUGGGCGCGAGCCUGAACCAGCCAAGUAGCGUGCAGGAUGACGGCCCUAUGGGUUGUAAACUGCUUUUAUGCGGGGAUAAAGUGCAGCACGUGUGCUGUUUUGUAGGUACCGCAUGAAUAAGGACCGGCUAAUUCCGUGCCAGCAGCCGCGGUAAU